CAAUAGCGUAUAUUAAAGUUGUUGCGGUUAAAAAGCUCGUAGUUGGAUUUCUGCUGAGGAUGACCGGUCCGCCCUGUGGGUGUGCAUCUGGCUCAGCCUUGGCAUCUUCCUGAAGAACGUAGCUGCACUUGACUGUGUGGUGCGGUAUUUAGGACAUUUACUUUGAGGAAAUUAGAGUGUUUCAAGCAAGCGCACGCUUUGAAUACAUUAGCAUGGAAUAAUAAGAUAGGACCUUGGUUCUAUUUUGUUGGUUUCUAGAGCUGAGGUAAUGAUUGAUAGGGAUAGUUGGGGGCAUUCGUAUUUAACUGUCAGAGGUGAAAUUCUUGGAUUCGUUAAAGACGGACUACUGCGAAAGCAUUUGCCAAGGAUGUUUUCAUUGA
rnacentral:rRNA from 1 species